GACGAACGCUGGCGGCGCGCUUAACACAUGCAAGUCGAACGGAAAGGCCUGCUUUCCCUUGUGGAUUGCGGGUACUCGAGUGGCGAACGGGUGAGUAACACGUGAGUGAUCUGCCCCCAACUUGGGUAUAAGCCUGGGAAACUGGGUCUAAUUCCCGAUAGGACUGCAGGGUGGUGCCUGUGGUGGAAAACGAUUUUCUAGUGGUUGGGGAUGAGCUCGCGGCCUAUCAGCUUGUUGGUGGGGUAAUGGCCUACCAAGGCGGCGACGGGUAGCCGGCCUGGGAGGGUGGACGGCCACAUUGGGACUGAGAUACGGCCCAGACUCCUACGGGAGGCAGCAGUGGGGAAUAUUGCACAAUGAGCGGAAGCCUGAUGCAGCGACGCCGCGUGGGGGAUGACGGCCUUCGGGUUGUAAACUCCUUUCGACCGCGAGGAAGCCACCUGGUUGGAAGGGUGGUGACGGUAGUGGUAGAAGAAGCACCGGCUAACUACGUG
rnacentral:rRNA from 1 species